UACGUAGGCAGCAAGCGUUGUCCGGAAUUAUUGGGCGUAAAGAGCUUGUAGGUGGUUUGUCGCGUCUGCUGUGAAAAUCCGAGGCUCAACCUCGGACUUGCAGUGGGUACGGGCAGACUAGAGUGUGGUAGGGGGAGACUGGAAUUCCUGGUGUAGCGGUGGAAUGCGCAGAUAUCAGGAGGAACACCGAUGGCGAAGGCAGGUCUCUGGGCCAUUACUGACACUGGAGAAGCGGAAAGCAUGGGGAGCGAACAGG
rnacentral:rRNA from 1 species